rnacentral:sRNA from 1 species
AGUGCCGUGGCUGGAGCUGCUCGCCCGAUUCCCCACCUAAAGGGCCCGAAGGAUGGGGCCACGGCCCAUGUGCGGUCCAGAUCCUGCACCUGCUGCUGUGCCGCUCUUUCCAGCUGGCUUACCUCUUGCAGCACCCUGAGGAGCGGGCACAGCCAGAGCCCUGCCCAGGGCCCACAGGGGAGGUGCCCCUGAAGCCACUGUCCAGCUCUGGGGGCCUGGUGCGGGAGCCCUUCGGCCGUGAUCAACUCUCUCAGAACGUCCAUGCCCUGGUCUCCUUUCGGCGGCUGCCAGCAGAGGGGCUGGUGGGCAGUGGGGUACGCAGCACCCCAGCCAAGGAGUGGGCAGUGGACAAGGGAACUGGAAGGAGCUGCCAGAGUCGGAAGGCCGUGCCCGCCAUGCCCGCCUGGGGAAUCCCUACUGCUCGCCCACGCUGGUGCGCAAGAAGGCCAUUCGCAGCAAGGUGAUCCGCUCGGGGGCCUACCGCGGCUGCACCUAUGAGACCCAGCUGCAGCUGUCGGCUCGGGAGGCCUUUCCUGCCGCAUGGGAGGCAUGGCCCCGGGGUCCUGGUGGCCACUCGUGCCUGGUGGAGAGCGAGGGCAGCCUGACGGAGAACAUCUGGGCCUUCGCUGGCAUCUCCAGGCCCUGUGCCCUGGCCCUGUUGCGGAGAGAUGUGCUGGGGGCCUUCCUGCUGUGGCCUGAGCUGGGUGCUAGUGGCCAGUGGUGUCUGUCCGUGCGCACGCAGUGCGGCGUGGUGCCCCACCAGGUCUUCCGGAACCACCUGGGCCGCUACUGCUUGGAGCACCUGCCGGCAGAGUUCCCCAGCCUGGAGGCUCUGGUGGAGAACCACGCGGUUACUGAACGUAGCCUCUUCUGUCCCCUCGACAUGGGCCGCCUGAACCCCACCUACGAGGAGCAGGACUGUGGGCCCCCAGGCAGGCCGCCCCGGACUCUCCGGCCCCUCAGCCAUGCCAAGUCCGAGGCAGAGCUGCAGGGCCUGGGCUAAGAGGUAGGGCCCCAGUCCCACAGGCCCCGCCUCACCCCGGCUCCUGGGCCCCAGCAGCAUCUCUGCCUGUCUUGCACCCCUCUGGUCGCCAGUUCCAUCCAGUCACCCUGCCCUUGGAGCAGUCUUCCAUCGCGUCACUGUCUGUGGGAGGGGAGCCCUGAGGGUGGGUAUCGCCAAUGGCUUCUUGGAGAACAUGUGGCCCGCUGAGAUUCCAGGAGGGCAGGUGGAGUUGCAGGCUUCGGAUAACCCUUUGGGUGGCUUCGGAUGCUUUGGGACUUCUGGGCUUCUGCUUUACUCCUGGGGCAGGAGCUUGUUCACGGCAAAGCUGCAGCCCUCUCCUAAGGAGGCUAGGCCUUGGGGCCCUGACUGGGAGUCUCCAGAAAGAGGGGUUUGGGGAGGCAGGAGUGAGUUUUUACUCUGGGCAAAGACCGGUGGGAAGGUGCAGAGAGGGCAGGAGGGACAGAGGGCUGUGCCUAAUGCUCACGCACAGUGGACUCCUGUGUGCAGAAAGGGAUGUGCACCAGCAGACAGGGCCAAGAAUCUCCAUGCUGUCUCCACUCAAAACCUCAGGGCUGUGACUCCCACUUUCUCAGAAGGGAUGCGCAGGCUCACCCCUUCCCCCUACGAAUCACCAGGGCACCCCCACCCCCAGCUCAUCUCCUUUAGCCAUUUGACAGGGAGGGGCCAGCAGUGAGCUGCAGGCUUAGAGGGGUGACCAGGUCCCUUCCUAACUCGACCGCACAUGGUUUGGUGGCUGCCUUGGGAGGGAGGCUGUCCGAUGCUGACAUUCCCCUUAGCAUGGCCCUGACCGUGGCUGUCAGGGGCCACCUCGCCUCACCAGGCCAGCCCCACUGGGAAUGGGGUCAGUCACAGCAGAACCGUCGAAAGGUGGACCUGAUGUGGGCCCUGCCGGGGGCGCUUGGCCUCAGUGGGCCAUGGGAGACCCAGGGAAACGACUCUAGUGUGAGGCAGUGGUCCUGCCAGUGACUGACAAACCCAGGUAUCCCUCUUUGUAAGCAAACUUGACAAAUAAUGAAUCUACUGAACUCAGUUAUAGAACAAGUUCAUUUUGCAUGAACUUAUCUUAUUGAAGCAGAAGCCACGUCAUGAGCCUGGGGGCUGCCCUCUCCCCGUCUGGGAGUGGGACAGAACUGUUCAGUGCCUUGAAAGUCACAGAUUUCUGACUCCUGGAAGGAACUGGGCAGUCCCACCAGAGCAGAAAGAAAGGAGGCAAACUUGGGGAGUGAGAAGCCAGCCUCCCAGAGGCCCAGGCCUCGUGUUCCCCACCUCCAACCCUCCCGUGAGGAGAGGGGCUUGGCCUGGGACCUUGUAACUUCCUUGCAAGUUAAGUGAGCUAUCCUGUCACAAAAGAUAGAAGGAACUGCCCUUUGGGACUUCUUUUCACUGGAAACCCAGCACUGGUUUUAUGUUGAGUGAGUGGGAAGCUGGGACUCUGUUUUACAGCCAUCUGUACUGGAGCCUGGACAAACCACUGGUCUCUAUGGGAGGCCCCACCCUCACAUUUCCCUGGCAAGGAGAGAGAGGUUUAGCCAUGUCCUGGGCCUAGGAUUACAGCCCAGAGAUGGGCACUUAAGAAGACCUGGUCAUUGGUCCAGACUUGGGCCAAGGCUCUCCUCUGUGAGGGAUGGGUUUUACUGGUGAAUUACCUGUGUGGAGAAGCUAUCAGGGCCAUGUUUAGCACACUGAAGGGACCAGUCUCCACCAAGCACUUUAACAUCCCUCCAGCCAGCAUUGAUUGAUCUCGUGUUACAGAGAGGGCAAGGUUUUUGGCCCCUGUUUGCAGACUCCAUGUCUUAAUCAGAGACCACAGUUUUCCCUUUGUUCCAAUCUGCGCCACCUCGGUAGCCCCACUUUCCUUGCUGUGUGGACUUGAAACAAAAUAAAAUGUGUUGCUUC